ACGGUACCGAUGAGCCAAGCUUGCUUGGAACAUCGGGAGAGUGGCAAACGGGUGAGUAACAUGUAAGUAACCUGCCCCUAAGUAGGGGAUAACUCUGAGAAAUCGGAGCUAAUACCGUAUGUGGUGGUGGAGGUAAGGCUUCAUCACUAAAGCCUUCGGGCGCUUGGGGAGGGGCUUGUGUCCGAUUAGCUAGUUGGUAGGGUAACGGUUUACCAAGGCGAUGAUCGGUAGCUGGUCUGAGAGGACGAUCAGCCACACUGGGACUGAGAUACGGCCCAGACUCCUAUGGGAGGCAGCAGCAAGGAAUUUUGUGCAAUGGGCGAAAGCCUGACACAGCGACACCGCGUGAGGGAUGAAGGCCUUCGGGUUGUAAACCUCUUUUCUCAGGGAAGAAUAAUGACGGUACCUGAGGAAUAAGUCUCGGCUAACUACGUGCCAGCAGCCGCGGUAAUACGUAGGAGGCGAGCGUUAUCCGGAUUUACUGGGCGUAAAGAGAGCGUAGGCGGCUUUUCAAGUCGGGUGUAAAAUCUCCCCGCUUAACGGGGAGGGGUCAUUCGAUACUGUUAAGCUAGAGGGCAGCAGAGGGAGGUGGAAUUCCCGGUGGAGUGGUGAAAUGCGUAGAUAUCGGGAGGAACACCAGUGGCGAAGGCGGCCUCCUGGGCUGUUUCUGACGUUGAGGCCCGAAAGCGUGGGGAGCGAACAGGAUUAGAUACCCUGGUAGUCCACGCUGUUAACGAUGGACACUAGGUAUAGGGAGUAUCGACCCUCUCUGUGCCGAAGCUAACGCGUUAAGUGUCCCGCCUGGGGACUACGGCCGCAAGGCUAAAACUCAAAGGAAUUGACGGGGGCCCGCACAAGC
rnacentral:rRNA from 1 species